GAUGAACGCUGGCGGCGUGCUUAACACAUGCAAGUCGAACGGAGUUUACAUGUGAGCGGAGGGUGCUUGCAUCUAACAAUCUUUUGUAAACUUAGUGGCGGACGGGUGAGUAACGCGUGGGUAACCUGCCGUAUGCAGGGGGACAACAGCUGGAAACGGCUGCUAAUACCGCAUAAGCGCACAGUACUGCAUGGUACAGUGUGAAAAGUUCUGGCGGCAUACGAUGGACCCGCGUCUGAUUAGCUAGUUGGUGAGGUAACGGCCCACCAAGGCGACGAUCAGUAGCCGGCCUGAGAGGUUGGACGGCCACAUUGGGACUGAGACACGGCCCAGACUCCUACGGGAGCAGCAGUGGGAAUAUUGCACAAUGGGGGAAACCCUGAUGCAGCGACGCCGCGUGAAGGACGAAGGUCUUCGGAUCGAAACUUUUGUCUUCAGGGACGAUAA
rnacentral:rRNA from 1 species